AUUGAACGCUGGCGGCAGGCCUAACACAUGCAAGUCGAACGAGUGGCGGACGGGUGAGUCAUGUCUGGGAAACUGCCCUAUGGAGGGGGAUAACUCCGGGAAACGGUAGCUAAUACCGCAUACCAUCGGAUGUGCCCAGAUGGGAUUAGCUAGUAGGUGGGGUAACGGCUCACCUAGGCGACGAUCCAUAGCUGGUCUGAGAGGAUGACCAGCCACACUGGAACUGAGACACGGUCCAGACUCCUACGGGAGGCAGCAGUAGGGAAUCUUGCACAAUGGGCGAAAGCCUGAUGCAGCAACGCCGCGUGUAUGAAGAAGGCCUUCGGGUUGUAAAGUUCUUUCAGCGAGGAGGCGUUACCCGCACAAGAAGCCCCGGCUAACUCCGUGCCAGCAGCCGCGGUAAUUC
rnacentral:rRNA from 1 species